CAUCGAUCAGAUCCCAGAAGGAGAGCAGGGUUCAACACAGAAGUGCUGGGCAGGGAAGGGGUUAAACCACAUUCCUCUGUAGUAAGCCCCCACAGCUUGUCAUAGCCAAGCCUGAGUCAGGUGUGAUGAAUAACUUUAAUGACUAUUAAUUAAGUAUCAAGUCAUUAGCAAGGAGGCUGUAGAAGCCUGGGAAGAAGAAAGGAGAAGGUUUGGGGUUUUUCCUGCAUCUCUAGAGGGUGAAAACGAAAGGAAGCAUUGCCAGCCUGGAAGAAACUAGUUUCCUAUCAAACACAUUGAAACAUCUCCUACCUACUGUUGGAUUUAAUAAACUUUACAUUUCUGGAAAGAGCUCAUCAACAAAUUCAGCCUUUUUGAAUCUCCUGGGAGCAGCGAGAGCCUCUGAAGAAGCAAUAUUUAGAUGGGAAACUUAUGUCCUCCAAGCUGGCAAGCUGCAACAGUGACACAGAUUUUUUUUUUCUUGUCGCUGCAAAACUCUCCCUGUAAAAGAUGUCCCUGAGGAUUUGAAGAACAGUGAUUUGAAGUGAUUGCAUUGG
ensembl:lncRNA